CCUACGGGAGGCAGCAGUGAGGAAUAUUGGUCAAUGGCCGGAAGUCUGAACCAGCCAUGCCGCGUGAAGGUCAGUGCCCUAUUGGCGUUAAACUUCUUUUGUUCGGGAGCAAUAAUGGUCACGUGUGGCCAGACGAGAGUACCGUACGAAUAAGCAUCGGCUAACUCCGUUCCAGCAGCCGCGGUAAUACGGAGGAUGCGAACGUUAUCCGGUUUUAUUGGGUUUAAAGGGUGCGUAGGCGGAAGGUUAAGGAAGUGGUAAAAUGUCGGUGCUAAAAACCGGCCUGCCGUUGAAACUGGUCUUCUUGAGUGAGCGAGAAGUAUGCGGAAUGCGUGGUGUAGCGGUGAAAUGCAUAGAUAUCACGCAGAACUCCGAUUGCGAAGGCAGCAUACCGGCGCUCAACUGACGCUGAGGCACGAAAGCGUGGGGAUCGAACAGGAUUAGAUACCCGAGUAGUC
rnacentral:rRNA from 1 species